rnacentral:rRNA from 1 species
UGGCGGCAGGCCUAACACAUGCAAGUCGAGCGGUAACAUUUCUAGCUUGCUAGAAGAUGACGAGCGGCGGACGGGUGAGCAACGCGUAGAAAUCUACCUAGUAGUGGGGGAUAGCCCAGAGAAAUUUGGAUUAAUACCGCAUACGCCCUACGGGGGAAAGCGGGGGAUCUUCGGACCUCGUGCUAUUAGAUGAGUCUGCGUCGGAUUAGCUUGUUGGUGAGGUAAUGGCUCACCAAGGCGACGAUCCGUAGCUGGUCUGAGAGGAUGACCAGCCACACUGGAACUGAGACACGGUCCAGACUCCUACGGGAGGCAGCAGUGGGGAAUAUUGCACAAUGGGCGCAAGCCUGAUGCAGCCAUGCCGCGUGUGUGAAGAAGGCCUUAGGGUUGUAAAGCACUUUCAGCAGUGAGGAAAGGGGUGUCGUUAAUAGCGCCAUCCUGUGACGUUAACUGCAGAAGAAGGACCGGCUAACUCCGUG